rnacentral:ncRNA from 1 species
AGAAUGAUAGGUCGCCUUAAUGGUGGCUUUUUUUAUAGCCGAAAAUCAGUAAGUCAAACCUUUCAAAAGGUAUGGGCAAUUUG